rnacentral:rRNA from 1 species
AUACGUAGGGUGCAAGCGUUAAUCGGAAUUACUGGGCGUAAAGCGUGCGCAGGCGGUUUUGUAAGACGGUGGUGAAAUCCCCGGGCUCAACCAGGGAACUGCCAUUGUGACUGCAGGCUGGAGUGCGGCAGCGGGGGAUGGAAUUCCGCGGGUAGCAGUGAAAUGCGUAGAUAUGCGGAGGAACACCGAUGGCGAAGGCAAUCCCCUGGGACUGCACUGACGCUCAUGCACGAAAGCGUGGGGAGCAAACAGGAUUAGAUCCCCUGGUAGUCCACGCCCUAAACGAUGUCAACUGGUUGUUGGGGAUUUAUUUUCUCAGUAACGAAGCUAACGCGUGAAGUUGACCGCCUGGGGAGUACGGCCGCAAGGUUAAAACUCAAAGGAAUUGACGGGG